UAUAUACAGCGCACACCUGUCAUCACCAGUUACAGUCGACUUAUAGAUAUACAGCUAUAACCAAGGGCUAUAUUGUACAAGGACCCAUACUUACCUGUAUCAAUGAUAAAAAGUCCUACAAUUUAUGGAUUGAUUCAAAACAAAUAUCUUUGAAGAAUGACAACAAUGGCACUAGAAGGACAGAGACCAUGGACAUUUGGAGGGAGACCAAAGAAAAAGCCAGCGAAACUGAAAACUCCUCAAAUAAACACAUACUUUAGACAGUUACAGAAAUGCCAAGAACUUUAUGAACGUCUACGACUCGACUCAACCAAUACCAAACAGCUAUUCACUUCACCCUUCCCAAAAAUUCAGAUGCGAGAGAGAACUUUCUUAAGCCUGAACCUUCCGCCAAAGAGAAAAAAGAGCGGGGAACUUCCAACUGAUGUUGAUACUAUUUCUCAGCAGACCACUUCGUCCGAAAACAUACACAGAAUGGACACAGACAGACGCCAUUGUGUUCGAAUGACUCCCGCGAAAUUAUGCGAAUAUCUUCGAUCGAAAGGGUUGGGGCAACCACGUGUUUUUACAUCCUCUUAUGUUAAACGAGAAAAUGAAACAAUUAUCAAACCGCACCCAAGACCAUUUUUUAAUCUUUUAUCAA